UACGUAGGGUGCGAGCGUUGUCCGGAAUUAUUGGGCGUAAAGAGCUCGUAGGCGGUUUGUCGCGUCGAAUGUGAAAACCCGGGGCUCAACCCCGGGCCUGCAUUCGAUACGGGCAGACUAGAGUUCGGUAGGGGAGUCUGGAAUUCCUGGUGUAGCGGUGGAAUGCGCAGAUAUCAGGAGGAACACCAAUGGCGAAGGCAGAUCUCUGGGCCGUAACUGACGCUGAGGAGCGAAAGCAUGGGGAGCGAACAGG
rnacentral:rRNA from 1 species